rnacentral:lncRNA from 1 species
CCAAGGUCCUCUGUGGGAUAAAGCCAAGGAUGGCUUCCCUGGGGCUCGAACUAAGGACCCGGAGUGCCUACAGGGCUCUUCCUACUGCUUCUUCUACUUUUAUAUUUUGCUUGACUCCCUAAAUCCAUUUCAGCUCUUGGGAACAUGGGCACUGUUGGAAAAGGAGAUUCAGAGAAGCUCUUUUGUGAAGAUCAUAGAAGACAGUUUGUAAAGAUAUUUGAGAUAAAUAGAAGAAGCUCUGGGAACAAUCUGUCUUAGUCUAUUUAUGCAGUGAAGGUGUCUGAAAGUCAGUGACUAAAUUUAAUGCAGUAUUUUCUGAGCACCUACUAUGGACUAGGCGCUGGGUGUACAACAAGGAAUGAAAAGCCAAUGGUCCCUGCUAUAAUGAAACUUACUUAGUGAUAUGGUUUGGAUUUAUGCCCCCAUCCAAAUCUCACAUUCAAUUGUAAUCCCCAAUGUUUAAGGUGGGGCCUGGCGGGAGGUAAUUGGAUCAUGGGGUGGUUUCUCAUGAAUGGUUAGGCACUAUCUCCUUGGUGCUAAGUUCUCCUGAGAUCUGAUUGUUUAAAAGUGUGUAUUUCCUUCCCCACUUCUCUCUUCUUCCUGCUCCAGCCAUGUAAGACAUGCCUGCUUCCCCUUCCUUUUCCACUACGACUGAGAGUUUCCUGAGGCCUCCUCAGAAGCUGAGCAGAUGCUUCCACUCUUCCUGUACAGCCUGCAGAACCAUAAGCCAAUUAAACCUCUUUUCUUGAUAAAUU